CUCUGCUAAUGACAUGGAAACCAGCAGAGGUGCUAAGCACAUAUUGUGUGUGUGUGCAUUCCCAUCACUCAUUGCAGAUCCUCUGACAAUUAUUUAGCCUUCCCCAUGACACAGAAUCCAGACACAUCUGUGCAGCACUGGAUGAAAGAUGCUUCGGUCUGUCAGAAGGCCGGAAUCCACUGACCUUUUAUACACACAUAUUACAAACAAACAGAUCACAGGUAAGAAUUUGAACCUUGAUUAGCUAUUUAAACCUGUUUGUUUCAACUUUUGUGCAUGUUAUCAGAUCACAGUCACUGGGGUGUGUAAACUUUUGAUCAGGGUCACUUGGGUACUUUCUUUGGUCUUUUUGAUUUAAACAUAAUUGUUUGCCAAUAAAUAAGUUCACACAACC